rnacentral:rRNA from 1 species
AGAGUUUGAUCCUGGCUCAGGACGAACGCUGGCGGCGUGCCUAAUACAUGCAAGUAGAACGCUGAAGAAAGGAGCUUGCUUCUUUUGGAUGAGUUGCGAACGGGUGAGUAACGCGUAGGUAACCUGCCUUGUAGCGGGGGAUAACUAUUGGAAACGAUAGCUAAUACCGCACAACAGCUUUUGACACAUGUUAGAAGCUUGAAAGAUGCAAUUGCAUCACUACGAGAUGGACCUGCGUUGUAUUAGCUAGUAGGUAGGGUAACGGCCUACCUAGGCGACGAUACAUAGCCGACCUGAGAGGGUGAUCGGCCACACUGGGACCGAGACACGGCCCAGACUCCUACGGGAGGCAGCAGUAGGGAAUCUUCGGCAAUGGGGGCAACCCUGACCGAGCAACGCCGCGUGAGUGAAGAAGGUUUUCGGAUCGUAAAGCUCUGUUGUAAGAGAAGAACGUGUGUGAGAGUGGAAAGUUCACACAGUGACGGUAACUUACCAGAAAGGGACGGCUAACUACGUGCCAGCAGCCGCGGUAAUACGUAGGUCCCGAGCGUUGUCCGGAUUUAUUGGGCGUAAAGCGAGCGCAGGCGGUUUAAUAAGUCUGAAGUUAAAGGCAGUGGCUACCAUUGUUCGCUUUGGAAACUGUUAAACUUGAGUGCAGAAGGGGAGAGUGGAAUUCCAUGUGUAGCGGUGAAAUGCGUAGAUAUAUGGAGGAACACCGGUGGCGAAAGCGGCUCUCUGGUCUGUAACUGACGCUGAGGCUCGAAAGCGUGGGGAGCAAACAGGAUUAGAUACCCUGGUAGUCCACGCCGUAAACGAUGAGUGCUAGGUGUUAGGCCCUUUCCGGGGCUUAGUGCCGCAGCUAACGCAUUAAGCACUCCGCCUGGGAGUACGACCGCAAGGUUGAAACUCAAAGGAAUUGACGG